rnacentral:rRNA from 1 species
UGGGGAAUAUUGCGCAAUGGGGGAAACCCUGACGCAGCAACGCCGCGUGAAGGAAGAAGGUUUUCGGAUUGUAAACUUCUUUUGUAAGGGACGAAAAAUGACGGUACCUUAAGAAUAAGCUCCGGCUAACUACGUGCCAGCAGCCGCGGUAAUACGUAGGUGGCAAGCGUUGUCCGGAAUUACUGGGUGUAAAGGGAGCGUAGGCGGGGAUAUAAGUUAAAUGUUAAAUCUACGGGCUCAACCCGUAGUCGCGUUUAAAACUGUAUCUCUUGAGUGAAGUAGAGGCAGGCGGAAUUCCCGGUGUAGCAGUGAAAUGCGUAGAUAUCGAGAGGAACACUCGUGGCGAAGGCGGGUUCCUGGACAUUAACUGACGCUGAGGUACGAAGGCUAAGGUAGCGAAAG